AGAGGAGCCAAUCCGCGGUGGGCUCCAACGCUCGCGCAGUGAGGGUAUAGGUUACUCUGCGUGAUCGCAGGUUGACGGAGAGGGAAGCCAUGGAUCAGGGCUAUGGUUAUAGUUCCUGGGGUACUGAGGCCACCAGUACUCAAGGUGGCUAUUCAACAAAUCCAGCAAGUUGGCAAGGCUAUGAAGGCUAUGAUUAUUACAGUGCCCAAACCAGCAGCUCUACUACAGCUGCCCCAUAUAACUAUGAUGCUGCCAGUGUUGCUGCAACUACCUGGGACGCUCCUAAAGCUACCGACAUGACAAUGAGUGCUGAGAUGGGCUCUCGCAUGCCAGUUGUAAAUUAUGGUAGUGGGGCAGUGGGCACAGAAAACUCUGACUCCAUUAUAGCAAAAAUAAACCAGCGUCUGGAUAUGCUGUCAAAGGAAGGCAGUGGUGGUCCUGGGGAAGGCAUGGAAGAUCAGGGAAGCUCUUUCAGAUUUGAGUCUUAUGAGUCCUAUGACUCUAGAGCAUCAGUGCCUGAUCGUGACCUGUACAGAACCAGCUAUGACUAUAAUGAAGUUGGAUCAGAUCGGAAUGAUUCUUUUGGAAGCCGCUAUGAUGAUGUUGGUGACCGCAGAGAUCAGCCCCGCAACAGAGGAAACAACUAUGGCUUUGCCAGAGGGAGGGCCCAGAAUCGAGGGCACCUAAACACUUUCAAUCGUGAUCACUUCAUGCCAUCAAGUACAGAACGGAUGUCUGCACAAUGGAAUGAGAUGAAUUACAUGGGUGGAAGGAAUAUGGAAGGACCUGGACCCAACCGGCUUCCAUCACUAUUUUCCCAAGCACUCGUCCCAGAGUAUAGAGAUUAUGAUGAUUAUGGAGACUACAGAGACUAUGGCAACUAUGGGGAUUAUGAUUACGGCAUGAUGGGAAUGCAAGGAAUGGGAAUGGGAAGGUUUCCUGGGAACAUGCCCUAUGGCUUCAACAGAUCACGUGGCAGACCAAAGAGAAGACCAUUCCGUGGUCGUUUUGGUGGGCAUUCAGAUUUUGAAAGUGGAUUACGCAAACGGAAACAUUCCCAAAGUGGAGAUGAACCAGACAGCAAACAGACAAAGACAGAAAGUGAAAGAGGUUAUUCUGACAAUGAUAAUGGUGAAGGAGAGGACAAAUCAGGAGAUGAAAGAGAUAAAGGUGAGCAUGAGAGAAGCAAUGAAGAUCGAAAGAGGAAAGCAUCUGGUGAUGGCAUUGAUGAUGAUGAUGAAGAGUCAAAACAAAGAAAAGAGAAGCAGAGGCAGAGGGAUCGAAUGCGUGAUCGUGCUAUGGACAGAAUCCAGUUUGCUUGCUCUGUAUGUAAAUUCCGAAGCUUUGAUGAUGAAGAAAUGGAGAAGCAUCUACAGAGCAAAUUUCACAAGGAGGUCCUGCGAUACAUCGGGACCAAACUGCCUGACAAGACUGUAGAAUUCCUGCAGAAAUAUAUAGUGAACAGAAAUAAGAAAAUUGGGAAGCGCCGACAAGAGCUAACGGAGAAGGAUGGUCCAAAACAAAAACCAGAUCCUUUCAAAGGAAUUGGCCAGGAGCACUUUUUUAAAAAGAUAGAUGCUGCUCAUUGUAUGGCUUGUGAUAUGCUAAUUCCUGCACAACAUCAUCUUCUCCAGAGACACCUGAGGUCUGUUGAUCACAACAGGAAUCGCAGAAUGGCAGCUGAACAUUUCAAGAAGGCUAGUUUCCACGUAGCUAAGAGUGUUCUGAAUAGCAAGCACAUUGUGAAAAUGCUAGAAAAGUACCUCAAGGAAAGCCUGCAGCCAUCUGACCAGGUGAAGACGAAAAGAAACAAGUUUGGCUGCUCCUAUACCUGGGAAUCCAGGAGCAUCCCAAGAUUCAACAGGACCCUCUCAUGGCAAGCAUAACUAAUGGGGGAGCAGAUGUUGUCAUUUCCUCUACAUGUCUGCUCUGUCCCUAUGGCAACACUUCGGUCUUAACCAGACUGAGUUUCUGCCAAUUAACUAGUCUCUGCUAGACAGACACUAGUAAAACUGAGACUCUGCUCUCUGGGUCCAGUGAAAAAAAAUAAGCUGAGCACAUCAGCUUGUAGUUGACACUGAUGGCCUAUUUACUGAGGCUGUGUUCCCCCAGCGGCCUCUCAUACACGUUGAACAAGAGGGGUGACAGAAUAAACCCUGCGUAGCUCGCAUGAGAGAGCCCUUGGGGCAGAUGAGCAGUUGCCCAGUGCCACCCUCUGGGAUCUCUCGGAGGAAAAAAUGGAACCACUCAAGCGCAACUCCGUCUACCCCUGCUAGGGUCCGCAGGUGCCUCAGCAACACCUCAUGAUCAACAGUAUCAAAGGCUGCCGACAGGUCUAACAGAAUCAGCAUGGACACCUGAACUUUGUCCAUCAGCAGGAGGAGAUCUUCGACCCACCCAGCACAGUCUCCGUACCAUACCCAGGUGCAAAACCAGGCUGAGAGGGGUGAAGGAAAUCUGAGGAUUCCAGGGUGAGGACCCAUUUACAGAUGAAAACGUUGACCAAGAUGUUGAUGACUCUGGAGCCUUAGAGGGGGCAGAAGCUGAAAAGGCUACAGAAAGUGCUGCAGUAGAG